rnacentral:rRNA from 1 species
UACGUAGGUGGCAAGCGUUGUCCGGAUUUACUGGGCGUAAAGGGCGUGCAGGCGGUUUGUUAAGUCUAGGGUGAAAGCUCCCGGCUCAACCGGGAGAGGUCCUUGGAUACUGGCAGACUUGAGGAGGGUAGAGGAGAGUGGAAUUCCCGGUGUAGUGGUGAUAUGCGUAGAUAUCGGGAGGAACACCAGUGGCGAAGGCGGCGAUCUGGGCAGAUACUGACGCUGAGGUGCGAAAGCGUGGGGAGCAAACAGG